GACGAACGCUGGCGGCGUGCUUAACACAUGCAAGUCGAACGAUGAAAGAGAAUCCGAUCUCUUCGGAGUGAAGAAUCUCUGGAUUAGUGGCGGACGGGUGAGUAACGCGUGAGCAAUCUGCCUUACACAAAGGGAUAGCCUCGGGAAACCGGGAUUAAUACCAUAUGAUAUCUAUUAACCGCAUGGUUUAUAGAUUAAAGAAUUUCGGUGUAAGAUGAGCUCGCGUCCCAUUAAUUAGUUGGUGAGGGUAACGGCCCACCAAGAUAGCGAUGGGUAGCCGAUCUAAGAGGAUGACCGGCCACAUUGGAACUGAGAAACGGUCCAAACUCCUACGGGAGGCAGCAGUGGGGAAUAUUGCACAAUGGGGGAAACCCUGAUGCAGCGACGCCGCGUGAGCGAUGAAGGCUUUCGAGUCGUAAAGCUCUGUCCUAUGGGAAGAUAAUGACGGUACCAUAGAAGAAAGCCCCGGCUAAUUACGUGCCAGCCGCCGCGGUAA
rnacentral:rRNA from 2 species